AUCAUGUGAUUUUCUGGUAUUACUCGGAAUACUCUGAGCAAGGAUAUUGAUUACUGCGAACAUCAUCUAGUUGACGGCGAUGAUGAUUUAUCUGUCGAGUUUCGGUAAAGAUCAGGAGUCUCAUGGAUUUGAAGGGUCGAACAUUGGUGGACAAGUUCAAGGCAGUAACAUAUGCGGAGAAUUCAAAAAACAAAGUAAUUAUCCAAGUACAAGUCACUUCACUUAGGAAUUAGGAUGCUAAGAAAAGCUCAGACAUAUGAAGAUUAAUGCAGUAUAGCAGCGAUAGAUAAGAGGUUCCCCCUGGAUCACAUCACCCGGGGAUGACAAGAAUUCUAAUAAUCUUCUGAGUGAGCCUCUUGUAUUCGUUGGCACAGAUAAAGGUUUUCUGUUUAUUGGGAGAAAUCUUUGCUGA